UACGAAGGGGGCUAGCGUUGUUCGGAAUUACUGGGCGUAAAGCGCACGUAGGCGGAUUUGCCAGUCAGGGGUGAAAUCCCGGGGCUCAACCUCGGAACUGCCUCUGAUACAGCAAGUCUUGAGUCCGGAAGAGGUGGGUGGAAUUCCUGGUGUAGCGGUGAAAUGCGCAGAUAUCAGGAAGAACACCCGUGGCGAAGGCGGCUCACUGGCCCGGUACUGACGCUGAGGUGCGAAAGCGUGGGGAGCAAACAGG
rnacentral:rRNA from 1 species